rnacentral:rRNA from 1 species
AUGGGCGCAGCUACACAUGCAGUCGAGCGGUAGCACAGAGAGCUUGCUCUCGGGUGACGAGCGGCGGACGGGUGAGUAAUGUCUGGGAAACUGCCUGAUGGAGGGGGAUAACUACUGGAAACGGUAGCUAAUACCGCAUAACGUCGCAAGACCAAAGUGGGGGACCUUCGGGCCUCAUGCCAUCAGAUGUGCCCAGAUGGGAUUAGCUGGUAGGUGGGGUAACGGCUCACCUAGGCGACGAUCCCUAGCUGGUCUGAGAGGAUGACCAGCCACACUGGAACUGAGACACGGUCCAGACUCCUACGGGAGGCAGCAGUGGGGAAUAUUGCACAAUGGGCGCAAGCCUGAUGCAGCCAUGCCGCGUGUGUGAAGAAGGCCUUCGGGUUGUAAAGCACUUUCAGCGGGGAGGAAGGCGGUGAGGUUAAUAACCUCAUCGAUUGACGUUACCCGCAGAAGAAGCACCGGCUAACUCCGUGCCAGCAGCCGCGGUAAUACGGAGGGUGCAAGCGUUAAUCGGAAUUACUGGGCGUAAAGCGCACGCAGGCGGUCUGUCAAGUCGGAUGUGAAAUCCCCGGGCUCAACCUGGGAACUGCAUUCGAAACUGGCAGGCUAGAGUCUUGUAGAGGGGGGUAGAAUUCCAGGUGUAGCGGUGAAAUGCGUAGAGAUCUGGAGGAAUACCGGUGGCGAAGGCGGCCCCCUGGACAAAGACUGACGCUCAGGUGCGAAAGCGUGGGGAGCAAACAGGAUUAGAUACCCUGGUAGUCCACGCUGUAAACGAUGUCGAUUUGGAGGUUGUGCCCUUGAGGCGUGGCUUCCGGAGCUAACGCGUUAAAUCGACCGCCUGGGGAGUACGGCCGCAAGGUUAAAACUCAAAUGAAUUGACGGGGGCCCGCACAAGCGGUGGAGCAUGUGGUUUAAUUCGAUGCAACGCGAAGAACCUUACCUGGUCUUGACAUCCACAGAACUUAGCAGAGAUGGUUUGGUGCCUUCGGGAACUGUGAGACAGGUGCUGCAUGGCUGUCGUCAGCUCGUGUUGUGAAAUGUUGGGUUAAGUCCCGCAACGAGCGCAACCCUUAUCCUUUGUUGCCAGCGGUCCGGCCGGGAACUCAAAGGAGACUGCCAGUGAUAAACUGGAGGAAGGUGGGGAUGACGUCAAGUCAUCAUGGCCCUUACGACCAGGGCUACACACGUGCUACAAUGGCAUAUACAAAGAGAAGCGACCUCGCGAGAGCAAGCGGACCUCAUAAAGUAUGUCGUAGUCCGGAUUGGAGUCUGCAACUCGACUCCAUGAAGUCGGAAUCGCUAGUAAUCGUAGAUCAGAAUGCUACGGUGAAUACGUUCCCGGGCCUUGUACACACCGCCCGUCACACCAUGGGAGUGGGUUGCAAAAGAAGUAGGUAGCUUAACCUUCGGGAGGGCGCUACCACUUUGAUCUGGC